GGUUGAUCCUGCCAGCAUUAUACGCUUCGCUUAAAGAUUAAGCCAUGCAUGUCUAAGUAUAAACAGAUUAACUGUGAAACUGCAAAGAGCUCAUUAUAUCAGUAAUAGUUUACUUGAUGAAUGGUCUGAGCAAUCGGAUUUACAUGGAUAACUGUGGUAAUUCUAGAGCUAAUACAUGAAUUCAAAGGGAGCCUCACGGCACCCUGAAUUUAUCGGACCAAACCCUUCGGAGCGUCAAAAACUCCAACGGUGAUUCACGAUAACUUUUCUGAUGAAUGGGAAGAUUCCCUCUU
rnacentral:rRNA from 1 species